UUUUUAUAACACAUUUUAAUAAUAAUAAAGAGAAAGAUGCUUUUAAUACAACUUUCAACAAUGGAUCUCUUGGCUCUCGCAUCGAUGAAGAACGCAGCGAAUUGCGAUAAGUAAUGUGAAUUGCACACCCCCCCUUUUAUUUCAGUGAAUCAUCGAAUCUUCGAACGCACCUUGCGCUACUUGGUUUUCCAAGGAGCAUGCCUGUUUGAGUGUCAUUUACAUUUCUCAACAUAAGUUGGAUUUUGGAGCAUGCCGGGGAGAGGUUCGGCUACUCUUGAAAGUAUGAAGGAAAGAAAAGGCUGAUAGUUGUCUAUAUUGCCUUACCUUUCCGAUAGUUAGGGGCUAGCCCCCUAUUUACCAUGUGACCUCAAAUCAGGUAGGACUACCCGCUGAACUUAAGCAUAUCAAUAAGCGGAGGAA
rnacentral:rRNA from 1 species